CCUGAGUGGGAUGUGUUCACCUGCAAAGAGAGGACGAACUCUAAACCCUGCUUCGGUACUUCCACCCUCUGAACAGCACAGAUAUGACCUUUUGCUCCGGAUUUAUCUGCAAUAAUGAAAGCAGACGAUCAGCAGUGUUGUUGCCAUUAGAAGGUGUUUCACUUGCAUAUUCUAASUUGCCCGCAGAGCUUCACAGGACAAGAAAACUAUGUCAUUUAUUUUUCUCAUCUCCUUGUGAUUACUUUUUGUAUCAUGCUAGCACAGUGGUACAGUGUUUGGUUUGCUUGUUUUGCCGUGAUCUUUACAUACUACCAAAAACUAAUUUUACCAUCUAAACGACCGGUCAGGACUAAACUAAUGCCACCAACUGAACACUGGUCUAUUGCUUAUAAAGAGCUCAUCGUAAGAGAAUUUCAUUUGAAAUGUAUCUGUUUUUCUUUCUUGUUGACAUUAGCAUAAGUGUCAGGCUCAAGAAACUGAGCAGAGAUAGAAAUACCUCCCACGGUUCUGUGGGGAUUAAUCUUUUUCACUGUUGGCAUUAAGUUUGGGAUACAGCUCAUGCUGAGGUCACGCUACCUAUCAUGCUAAAUUACCAACCAGUGUGUCUGUGGCCAGCUGGGAUCUGCAAAUUUCUGUAUUCUGAUGCAGUCGAGUUUCUUUGGAUGUGGAUUUGGUCUCCAGUAAUUGCUUAUGCACAUACGAAUGGGAAACAAACAUUCUUGCUGCGCCGUUCAUGCUGGGCGGUACAGAAUUGGCACCCGGGGAACUCUGAGCAUCGUAUUUAUGAAUGAAAAUUAGGUCAGACAACCCAGAGCUUAGCAUUUAUAGAUUUAAAAUGUCUUGGACUUAAAAAUAAAAAACCCCAAAAAACAAAAAAAAAAAAAAAA
rnacentral:lncRNA from 1 species